rnacentral:rRNA from 1 species
AUACGGAGGGUCCAAGCGUUAUCCGGAAUCAUUGGGUUUAAAGGGUCCGCAGGCGUGCAAUUAAGUCAGAGGUGAAAGCCCAUCGCUCAACGAUGGAACUGCCUUUGAUACUGGUUGACUUGAGUUAUACGGAAGUAGAUAGAAUAAGUAGUGUAGCGGUGAAAUGCAUAGAUAUUACUUAGAAUACCGAUUGCGAAGGCAGUCUACUACGUAUAUACUGACGCUGAGGGACGAAAGCGUGGGGAGCGAAAAGGAUUAGAAACCCUAGUAGUCC